UCGUGCUACACGGGGAGCUGGCGGUGCCCUAUACCCGCAACCCGCCACAGCGGGGUGGAAUUCCUCCCCUCGGCAAGGCGCAAGGGCCAAUUUCCCAGGGAGUGGCGUUGACGGCCGGGUCCCACGCGGCGCAGGCUCGCGAACUCCGCCAGGGCUUGACGGCAGCAACGGUAAGCGAUGUCCCGCGGGCGCCGUGGGAGUGCCCGGCCCGAGCCAGUCCCGACGAUAUGCCCCCAGGCUGUAGUCAACGGGAGGUGCUCGG
rnacentral:SRP_RNA from 2 species